GCCUGGUUAGCUCAGUUGGUUGGGCAUCAGACUGCAGAGCGGGAGGUCGCUACCGGGUUCGAAUCCCAGUCGGACCA